UCUCUUUGAUAUUUUUAUCCUUUUCAAAAUUACAGCAGAAACAAAAUAGGGGGCCAACAUCGAUGCCCCUCUACCCAAACAUCUCGCCAGCACCUCCAAUCGACGGCUUGAUGCAUCUUCCGAUAUGAAAACACCAGUUCGCUGGUGAUCAAGCGAGGGGAAUCAUCGGCAAAUCAAGAUCCAGUGGUUUCCUUUUUUUUUGUUUUGUUUGAAAAUAAAGGGGUUAGGGCCGGCGUCUGGCACCACCACCCAUCGGGGUAGCCACCGUAUGCCCAGAUGGCCCCACC
rnacentral:lncRNA from 1 species